rnacentral:lncRNA from 1 species
GGAAUAACUUCCAGACUGUGGGCAGGAGGACAGAAGAGCUGAAGUACGUGAGAUCUAAACCUGGAAGAUGACUGAGAAUGUUUAUGAAACUACAGUACAAUGGCUGCUAUGUAGAUGCUGAUGAAGAAAAUAUGCAUUUAUUGUGAAAAUACUUACAGUUGGAAUGACUCCAUACUGGCCCACAAAAUGAAUAAAAUCACAGACUUUUGAGUAAUGUAAAAUAUCAGUGUUGCCCAUUCAUCACUUUUAGUACAGACAGUCACACUUAAUUGGCUCUGGCACUAAAAGAAAAGUCUGGUAUGGACCCAAAUCAGUCUACAUCAACAAGAAGGCUCUGAAAAUAAAGCCCAAGGUGAGACCCAUCUUUUCACAGGGUACACCAGACAUAUUAAUUUCCUCAUCUUUCCACAGUGCAGACCAUCAUCUUCCAGUUGCUUGCAGUUUAUUUUUUAUGAUUUUGUCACAUUUUACAUCUACAAGCUCUCUCACUGGGAGGUAGUGUGGAGGAAAUGGAUUCAAACAAACUCGUUUGAAGAAUAUAAGCCAAGCACAGCCAUGGGAUCAAACGUAGAAAUGGAGUGCAAGUUCAUCUACUGUUAGUCACCAUUUUUGAGGAAACAGUGUAAGAAUUCUGACAAAGCUGUAGUUCAGCAUUUUGGCAAGUGCAACGAAAAGAACUGUGUAUAUGUAAGAGACACUUCAGUCUCAUGAGAAGCAGUCCUUGCAGGAUUUCCUGGACAGGAUCAAGAACCACUGGAAAUAUUCAGAGAUUUUACUGGAAAUCGCUUGAGAACAGACUGUCUGACAGGCUCUGUUUUGAGUCAACUUUGGAUUGAAACUGAACUUUAGCGUGAGUAUGUGAACAGGUCUAUUAUCUCUAUUCACACUUCACAAUCAGUUAAACAGUUUCAUUAAAUACUGUGAUGCAGAAAAUCACAUUCUGGUCCUAAGAAAUAUGGGUCAUACAGCUAGUCCUUGCUCAGGCAAAUAGUUCCACUGAGUUUAAUUUUCAGGACAGCCCUUCUGUCAGUGCUAUGAAACAGUGAAGCAAAUAAAAGGUCUACACAUUUUUAGUAAAUCA